rnacentral:sRNA from 10 species
GCAGGUGAAUUCGUUCUUUGACAAAGUCUCUUUGUUUUCUGUUUCGAUUUUCAUUUUUUUAAUUUACCAAAAAAAAAAGUUUUGUGAAUUUGUUUUUCUUAAUGUUCACUUGGUGCAAUUUACUUCUCUUAGCUAAGCAACAACACAAAGUCAAGAAUCAGGUGCAGUACCUCUAAAGUCUGAAUGCAUAGCAAGUUGUUGAUAUUCAAUACCCAUUUGGAAUAGAAGCCGGUUGUUACUUGAUUGAGUGGUUCAGAGUAACUUGCAACAAAACAUCUAUGAAAGGCGUUGGCACAUGGGCGGUUACGUUGCAAGUUUCUCUGACCCACUCAUUCAGGAAACAGUCGGUUUCUAUUCCAAAUGGGUAUUGAAUAUCAACAUGUCCACAACUUGCUGCACCUUCAGACUUUAGUGGUACUAUGCUUGAUUCUUGGCAUUGUGUUGCUGCUUGGCAAGAAGAAGUAAAUUGCACAAGUGAACACCAAGGAAAACAAAUUCACAAACAUUUUAUUUUUGGGUAAAUUAAAAAAAUGAAAAUCGAAACAGAAAACAAAGAGACAUUGUCAAAAAUUGCUAGUGAAUACUGGUAGUGAGUAGCUGGUGACCUUCCAAAUCGCAUUUGAUGGGAAAGGAAGGAAUGGAAACAGGUCAAUGCUGAUGUUUCCACUACUUAAUGACAAUGGACUCGUGAUGAAUUGCUUUUGGCUCCUUCGAAAGUUUACGGGCAGUGUAUAGGGGGAUAUAUAUAUUUUGCCUUGUACAGAUUCUUGGUUCUAACUGGCAUUAUUUUUGUAAGCCAGUAUAUUUUGUGAUCUGACUUUUAUCUCAAGUCAGAUUUUCUUUUGUAAAUUGCAGGGGUUCCCUUGUCUUGAUGAAAGGAAAUUAACUUUUCAGAAAAAAAA